rnacentral:ncRNA from 2 species
CAUCAAAGCUAGGGGAGCCUACUGCGGCUGAGAGCGCGGCCAAUGCGCCGCGCACCCUCUGAACCUGAUUCUGGAUAAUACCAGCGCAGGGAAGCGAUCAUGACCGUAU